rnacentral:rRNA from 1 species
GUCGAGCGGACCUUCGGGUCAGCGGCGGACGGGUGAGGAACACGUGAGUGAUCGAGCGAGGAGUGGGGGAUAUCGGGCCGAAAGGCGCGGCAAUCCCGCAUACGUUCCGGGAGACCGGAAGAAAGCCGGGGAACUGGCGCUCCUUGGGGAGCUCGCGGCCCAUUAGCUAGUUGGGGGGGUAAGGGCCUCCCAAGGCGACGAUGGGUAGCCGGCCUGAGAGGGUGAUCGGCCACACUGGGACUGAGACACGGCCCAGACUCCUACGGGAGGCAGCAGUAGGGAAUCUUCCACAAUGGGCGCAAGCCUGAUGGAGCAACGCCGCGUGAGUGAAGACGGCCUUCGGGUUGUAAAGCUCUGUCUGUCGGGACGAAGACCGGCCCGGGAGGGCCGGGGAGCCGGUACCGGCGGAGGAAGCCCCUGCAAACUACGUGCCAGCAGCCGCGGUAAGACGUAGGGGGCAAGCGUUGUCCGGAAUGACUGGGCGUAAAGGGCGUGUAGGCGGUGCGAUACGUAGCGGUUUUAAGCCUCCGGCUCACCCGGAGGAGGGCGGCUAAACGGUCGGACUGGAGGGCAGGAGAGGUGCGUGGAAUUCCUGGUGGAGCGGUGAAAUGCGUAGAGAUCA